GCUGAAGUGGUCUAGUGGUAAGACGCCUGGACAGCAGCUGGCUAAUUACCAGCCACCUGCUCGACGGGAGGUCGCCGGUUCGAAUCCGGCCUUCAGCA
rnacentral:tRNA from 1 species